AAUCAACGCUGGCGGCGUGCCUCAGACAUGCAAGUCGAACGCGAAAGUUCCCUUCGGGGGAUGAGUAGAGUGGCGCACGGGUGAGUAACACGUAGGUAAUCUACCUUCGGAUGGGGAAUAACAACCGGAAACGGUUGCUAAUACCGCAUAAUGCAGCGGCACCUAAUGGUGACAGUUGUUAAAGCGGGGGAUCGAAAGACCUCGCGUCUGAAGAGGAGCCUGCGGCGGAUUAGCAGUUGGUAGGGUAACGGCCUACCAAGGCUACGAUCCGUAGCCGGCCUGAGAGGGCGGUCGGCCACACUGACACUGACAUACGGGUCAGACUCCUACGGGAGGCAGCAGUCGGGAAUUUUGGGCAAUGGGCGAAAGCCUGACCCAGCAACGCCGC
rnacentral:rRNA from 1 species